rnacentral:rRNA from 1 species
ACGAACGCUGGCGGCGUGCUUAACACAUGCAAGUCGAGCGGAGACAUGUAACGGAAGGCUUCGGCCGGAAGAUAUAUGUUUUAGCGGCGGACGGGUGAGUAACGCGUGAGCAACCUGUCCUUCACAGGGGGAUAAGAUACCGAAAGGUGUUCUAAUACCGCAUAAGACCACAACGUCACAUGGCGAAGGGGUCAAAGGAGCAAUCCGGUGAAGGGUGGGCUCGCGUCCGAUUAGAUAGUUGGUGAGGUAACGGCCCACCAAGUCGACGAUCGGUAGCCGACCUGAGAGGGUGAUCGGCCACAUUGGGACUGAGACACGGCCCAGACUCCUACGGGAGGCAGCAGUGGGGAAUAUUGGGCAAUGGGGGAAACCCUGACCCAGCAACGCCGCGUGGAGGAAGAAGGUCUUCGGAUCGUAAACUCCUGUCCUAAGAGACGAGCAGGAGACGGUAUCUUAGGAGGAAGCCCCGGCUAACUACGUGCCAGCAGCCGCGGUAAUACGUAGGGGGCAAGCGUUGUCCGGAAUGAUUGGGCGUAAAGGGCGCGUAGGCGGCCUUUCAAGUCUGAAGUGAAAUUCCCGUUUUUAAGAUGGGAACUGCUUUGGAAACUGUAAGGCUUGAGUGCAGGAGAGGUCAGUGGAAUUCCCAGUGUAGCGGUGAAAUGCGUAGAGAUUGGGAGGAACACCAGUGGCGAARGCGACUGACUGGACUGUAACUGACGCUGAGGCGCGAAAGUGUGGGGAGCAAACAGGAUUAGAUACCCUGGUAGUCCACACUGUAAACGAUGAAUGCUAGGUGUAGGAGGUAUCGACCCCUUCUGUGCCGCAGUCAACACAAUAAGCAUUCCGCCUGGGGAGUACGGCCGCAAGGUUGAAACCCAAAGGAAUUGACGGGGGCCCGCACAAGCAGCGGAGCAUGUGGUUUAAUUCGACGCAACGCGAAGAACCUUACCAGGUCUUGACAUCCAGUAAAAACCUGAGAGAUCAGGUGUGUCUUCGGACAUACUGAGACAGGUGGUGCAUGGUUGUCGUCAGCUCGUGUCGUGAGAUGUUGGGUUAAGUCCCGCAACGAGCGCAACCCUUGUGUUCAGUUGCUAACAGGUGAAGCUGAGA